GGGCGCUUGGUCUAGGGGUAUGAUUUUCGCUUCGCACUUCCAUCCAGGAACGCGAUCUCACUGUGAAAGGUCGUGAGUUCAAUUCUCACAGCGUCCA